AUACUUAUCUGGCCUGGCAGGGGAGACACCAUGAUCAAGAAGGUGGUUCACCCAGGGCAAGGCUCAGCCAUUGCAUUCCGGAUGUGCUGACCCCUGCGAAUUACCCAAAUGUGGGAAUCUCGACUGCAUAAUUUGUGGUAGUGGUGGACUGCGUUUGCGCUCUCCCCUG
ensembl:snRNA U1 U1 spliceosomal RNA